GGCUUUAUAGUCAAUAUUAUGAUAUUAGAUUGCAAAUCUAAAGUAACAGUUAUGUUGAAGCUU
rnacentral:tRNA from 1 species